rnacentral:rRNA from 1 species
UAGGGAAUAUUGGACAAUGGGCGCAAGCCUGAUCCAGCCAUCCCGCGUGAAGGAUUAAGGCCCUCUGGGUUGUAAACUUCUUUUUUUUGGGAAUAAAAACCGGAAUUCAUUUCGGCUUGAAGGUACCAGAAGAAUAAGCACCGGCUAACUCCGUGCCAGCAGCCGCGGUAAUACGGAGGGUGCAAGCGUUAUCCGGAUUCACUGGGUUUAAAGGGUGCGUAGGUGGCUUUGUAAGUCAGUGGUGAAAUCUCGGAGCUUAACUCCGAAACUGCCAUUGAUACUGCUUAGCUUGAAUCAGGUCGAGGUGGAUGGAAUAUUACAUGUAGCGGUGAAAUGCUUAGAUAUGUAAUAGAACACCGAUUGCGAAGGCAGUUCACUAGGCCUGUAUUGACACUGAGGCACGAAAGCGUGGGGAUCAAA